CCUACGGGUGGCAGCAGUGGGGGAUAUUGCACAAUGGGGGAAACCCUGAUGCAGCGACGCCGCGUGGGUGAAGAAGCGCCUCGGCGCGUACAGCCCUGUCAGCAGGGAAGAAAAUGACGGUAACUGAAGAAGAAGCCACGGCUAACUACGUGCCAGCAGCCGCGGUAAUACGUAGGGGGCAAGCGUUAUCCGGAUUUACUGGGUGUAAAGGGGGCGCAGACGGCGAUGCAAGCCAUGCGUGAAAGCCCGGGGCCCCACCCCGGGACUGCUCUUGGAACUGCGUGGCUAGAGUGCAGGAGGGGCAGGCGGAAUUGCUGGUGUAGCGGUGAAAUGCGUAGAUAUCAGGAGGAACACCGGUGGCGAAGGCGGCCUGCUGGACUGCAACUGACGUUGAGGCCCGAAAGCGGGGGGAGCAAACAGGAUUAGAUACCCCUGUAGUC
rnacentral:rRNA from 1 species